rnacentral:rRNA from 1 species
GACGAACGCUGGCGGCGUGCUUAACACAUGCAAGUCGAACGGUGAAGGGACCGGUUUUUGCUGGUUCUGGAUGAGUGGCGAACGGGUGAGUAACACGUGAGUAACCUGCCCCCUUCUUCUGGAUAACCGCAUGAAAGUGUGGCUAAUACGGGAUAUUCUGCGCCUGCUGCAUGGUGGGUGUGGGAAAGAUAUUGUUUCGGUGGGGGAUGGGCUCGCGGCCUAUCAGCUUGUUGGUGGGGUGAUGGCCUACCAAGGCGGUGACGGGUAGCCGGCCUGAGAGGGUGGACGGUCACACUGGGACUGAGACACGGACCAGACUCCUACAGGAGGCAGCAGUGGGGAAUAUUGCACAAUGGGCGCAAGCCUGAUGCAGCGACGCCGCGUGAGGGAUGGAGGCCUUCGGGUUGUAAACCUCUUUCGCCAGUGAAGCAGGCCUGUCCCUUUUGUGGGUGGGUUGACGGUAGCUGGAUAAGAAGCGCCGGCUAACUACGUG